UGGGUUGGGACAAAGAAAGACUAGGAUAACCAAGGCUGAAGAUCUAGGGACCUAGUGGAACAGGGAGAUAGAUGAUUUCUUUCCCCAAAAAGGUGAGCUCCUGCCUAUUAAUUUAGGAAGCAGAGUAGGAGUUUCUGGAGAACAUUCGGGCUGUGCUGGGCUCAGUAUCCAGAGGUUACAGUGUGUCUGUAAUCAUUAGGGGCAGAGAAGCCAAGCAACUGGAUCUGGUUCCUCAGGUGAGGAUCUAGAAUCCACUUUGCCUUACCAUAUAGUCUAGGUUUGUUUGAACUCCGAAACAAUCUUUUCUCUCAUCCCCACUCCACCCCUACCCUAAUAAUUUCCAGCUGCUGGCACUGCUGUUUGAGGAAACUCAACUCCAAAGUGCUUCUGAAACUUCCCUCUGGACCCUAAGUCUAGUGCAGAUGAAAAGAGCUCAAAAGUGAUUUUCAGGAAUUGAGGAGUCCUGCAAAGAAUUCUCCAGGAUUUGGAAGAUUUUUAUGGGUUCUGCACAGACUUAUCCCUUGUACUUUCAAACCCUUCUCUUUAACUCAUUUCUACCGGGAGGGAUCAAGACUUAUUAUUAUCUGGAACUAGCGACCUGAAUUUCCUGGAUGUGUCCCCACUGGGUCUGUAAGUAUGCUACUUUGUCCAGGAUGUGAAUAUCUUUUCUUAGUACUGCUCUCCCUUCCUUCCCAGAGUUACACAGCUAAGAAGUGUCUGAGGUCACAUUUGAACUCAGGGCCUUCUGACUUCGGAGCUGAUGCUCUAUCCACUGUACAGCUAUCCUAUUCAGGUUUAGUCUGUCUAUGUGACUAUGGGUUACCUGCUCAUUUUGUUCUUAUGUCUGGGAUUUAAUGCUUUGAAGGGUCCUGUGGCAGAGGGACGGAGUCCAGAAAUGGUCCAAACUUAUAUUUUUCCCCUUUUUUCUCAGGGUAGCAGAAGGAACGAGUGAAGCAGAGAUCCUAGAUUCCAAGUCUGGCUGCCAACUUUAUUUCAGGGCAAGUGGAAGGCUUGGUUAGGUAUAUGAACCUGUAGACUCUGGCAGAAAGGAUGAGGGAAGGAGAUACAAACUUAGAAUCUAAGAAGAAAUGCCCCGAACUUAACCAUCUUCUCUUCCAGGGCCUGCUCCCUUCUUUUUUUUUUUUUUUUUUUUUUUUUGCCUGCUCCCUUCUUAUCUUGAUGAUAUCCUGCCUGGGGCCCAGCACCAUAAAGAGGCCUGGGCCAGAGGCAUGUGGCAGGGCUCAUUGAGAGUCCUUCAGCUUCCAGAAGCUCCGUGAGUCCAACUUGGGGUGAAGCCCAGGGCAGCAGUUUGAGGGUUCCACAUAAGGGGCAGUUAUUCCCCCUAACCCAUAACAAGGACCUAAGCUGUGCCUGACCUUAGCCGUCACUCUUUGUAGCAACUGCCCCUUAUUGCUGGUACUGGCAGGGAAGGCUUCCAAGGCCCAUACCGGCUCCUUGCCUUGGAUCAUGACUCAGUUGCUCUUUGGAAAUAGUUACAACAGCCUGUUGCUUCACUUGGAUUUCUGAGGUAUGAAGGAGGGAAGGAAGGGACAGAAAAAAAGACAGGAAAUGAGACUUAAUCCUUUCUGGGGAGAGUCACCAGGAAGUUCAUCUCCCAAAUCCUGCUUCGGCCUCUGCAUUGGCUCCUCAUCUAGGCUUCUUACUCAGGGCUAGUCUGGUGGAAAGAGGCUGCUCAGUGUGAUUCUUGGCUUGAGAGGUUGGGAGGAGGGGACAGGAUUAUUCUUUGACUAUAUCAAAGCCCCACACUCCCCCCCCCCCCCUCACCUAAAGUGGCCCCACUGCCUGCCUGUUUUCUUUGGCAGGUGUCCCCUUGGGUCUGCUCCUGGCCUCGCUAGCAGGGGCCAAAGGAGUUUGGGACCCCCGCCAGGAGAAGCAGAUUUCUCCCACACUGUGGGAUGCUUUGGAAGAAAUCCACACCCGCUAUGCCACUGUUCAGGACCUGUGUUCUGGGCUCUCUGGAACGGCUCUACAGGAGAGCCAGCUUACUCAGCUGAGCCUGGUGCUCAGGGAAUUAAAGGUGAGACAGAGCCAGGCACCAGCCCUCCAUGUGGGGUAGCAGGGGCUCUAGAAAGUAUGCACUGAACUUGCUAUUUACAGGUACUGAAAAACCAAAGCCGGAGCUGGGAGACCAGGAUGCUCAAGGGAGUUGGAGCUUCUGUAACCAGGCUUCCAAACCUGCAGGUGAACUAGAAGAGACCUUUCCCCCUGUUUUCAAGAAGCAUCUUCAAGGUGAGUUUCAGGUCUACAUCCCAGACACUAUUUCCUUGGAAUUCCUCAGCUUGUCUAUCUUUGUCUAGAAUAAAAAUAUUUCUCUUUGGCAGCAGGUACUUCAGAAACUCUGGACCUGGGAAGGAAGUCACCCCUGCCAGCAGCAGGGGCUCCUUUUGGGGGCUCCAAAAAACAGGCAAAGUUUCGUUUCUAUAAGGAGUAAAUGGGAGUUCCCUAGAAGGAAAUGGCAUUGUGUAAUAUCCCUUCCUGGGAGUGAAAUUGGGUUAAAAUAAAUACCAUGAAGUCUGAAAAGAGGAAAAGAAUCACAAAGGAGCAGGUUAAGUUAUGGAAGGGGGAGAAGUGCCACUGCUUUAUCUAGGUGAGAGUGGUAAUGAUCAGGAAUAGGUGAUCUUUUAUUGGACCACAGGAUUUAGAGCUAAAAAGAGCCUUUUAGAUAAUCUAGUCCAAUCUCAUUUUCUCCAGAUAAGGAAAUUGAGAACAAUAGAGAUUAAGUUAUUUUCCUGAGACUAUCUAAGUAGUAAAUAAAGGAAUAGACAUUUAGAUUCAGGUUCUUGGGACUUCAAUACAGAGGUCUGACCACAAUGCCUCUUCUUUUAGGACCUACCUCCCAUCUCUCUUAGACUGUAGUUAUGAUUUUACUGCUCAGGAAUGCACUGCCUGUAGUGCUGAAUCCCCUAAAUCUGGGGUAUGGACAGUAAUUGGAAUUGGUAACUCUGUAUACUGGGGAAGACCAAUAGACCCCAAUGGGGAAGUUAGGCAGGAAUUCUUUUAAAAAAAUCUAAGUAAACUUUAAGUUUAUUUUUAAUAUUCUUUUUUUUGUUUGUUUCAAAUUCUACUUCUUCCUCUCUUUUCUUCCCUCCCCUGCUCUUUUGAGAAAGCAAGCAACAUGACACCGAUUAUACAUUAUCAUGUAAACAUUUGUAUAUCAGUAGAACAGGAAUUCUUAAACCUUCUUUGUGUCAUGGUACCAAUGUGGCAAUCUGGUGAAGCUUGAGGUUUGUUG
ensembl:lncRNA